GACAGAGGAUGCAAGCGUUAUCCGGAAUGAUUGGGCGUAAAGGGCGUGUAGGCGGUUAGUUAAGUCUGGCGUGAAAGCUCUCGGCUAAACCGGGAGAGGUCGUUGGAUACUGGCUGACUAGAGGACGGUAGAGGCGUGUGGAAUUCCGGGUGUAGUGGUGAAAUGCGUAGAGAUCCGGAGGAACACCAGUGGCGAAGGCGACACGCUGGGCCGUACCUGACGCUAAAGCGCGACAGCAUGGGGAGCAAACGGG
rnacentral:rRNA from 1 species